rnacentral:lncRNA from 1 species
AGGAUUUGACAAGAGAAUAAGACCUUUAUUAGGUGUUAUACAAGAUUCAAGCCGUAUGAUCCUUAUUAUAGCUGGAAAAACUUGUUUUCCAAUACCUUAUCUUCUUUGGCAACCAUGCUCCUCUUUUUGUGAUUCCAUUGUUUCUUUGGGUAAUUGUGAUUGUUGUUUUACUUAUUCUACAAUUUCUUUCAAAAUAAACCUGUAUAUGAGAAUUUGAACACAGAAAAAGACUAAGUACAUGAAUUUUGCUUAUUAAGGUCACACAAUUAAUUGUAUUCAAAACCACUAAAACACUAAGAAAUACUAUGAUAUUUUUUCCCAGUAACAAUACU